AGUGAACGCUGGCGGGGGGCCUAACACAUACAAGUCGAACGGCAACAGACUACGAUCUUGCUGGGGCGGGUGGGGGGGGGCGGGCGGGGAAGGAGUACGUCGUAAUCUCCUUUUUGUUGGGGGAUAAAGUAAGGAAGGGGACACUAAUACCGCAUAGCCCCUACUGUUGGAGGGGGGGGGUGUUGUGUCUUGGCGGGUGGGGAUGGACUCGCGGCUUAUUAGCUUGUUGGGGGGGUAGUGGCUUACCAAGGCUUUGACGGGUAGCCGGCCUGAGAGGGUGACCGGCCACAUUGGGACUGAGAUACGGCCCAGACUCCUACGGGAGGCAGCAGUGGGGAAUAUUGCACAAUGGGCGGAAGCCUGAUGCAGCAACGCCGCGUGCGGGAUGACGGCCUUCGGGUUGUAAACCGCUUUCGCCUGUGACGAAGCGUGAGUGACGGUAAUGGGUAAAGAAGCACCGGCUAACUACGUG
rnacentral:rRNA from 1 species